CCUUGCAUCAAGUCUUGAGUCUAGAGGUAUUGAGAUUUGCAAAUCAGUAGCUAAAAUGCUACAGUUAAAUACCUAAGUGUCAAGACUUAUGGCCUAGGUAUUGAGACUUACAAGCCUAGUCUCGAGACUAGCCAUUCAAGUUUCUAGACUUGUUCCACUGCAUUUGCUCAACAUGUAUUUUUUAUCGUUUUAAGUUCCCAG
rnacentral:lncRNA from 1 species